rnacentral:rRNA from 1 species
CAAGUCGUGCGCGAAAGGGGCUUCGGCCCUGAGUAGAGCGGCAAACGGGUGAGUAACACGUGGGUGACCUGCCUUCGAGUGGGGGAUAACGUCCCGAAAGGGACGCUAAUACCGCAUGACAUCCUGCCUUUGAACAGGUGGAGAUCAAAGCCGGGGUCGCAAGACCUGGCGCUUGAAGAGGGGCCCGCGCCCGAUUAGCUAGUUGGUGGGGUAAUGGCCUACCAAGGCGACGAUCGGUAGCCGGCCUGAGAGGGCGGACGGCCACACUGGGACUGAGACACGGCCCAGACUCCUACGGGAGGCAGCAGUGGGGAAUUGUUCGCAAUGGGCGCAAGCCUGACGACGCAACGCCGCGUGGAGGAUGAAGAUCUUCGGGUCGUAAACUCCUGUCGACCGGGACGAAUGCCGUGCGGGUGAAUAAUCCGCACGGGUGACGGUACCGGUGGAGGAAGCCCCGGCUAACUCCGUGCCAGCAGCCGCGGUAAUACGGGGGGGGCAAGCGUUGUUCGGAAUUACUGGGCGUAAAGGGCUCGUAGGUGGCCAACUCAGUCGGACGUGAAAUCCCUCGGCUUAACCGGGGAACUGCGUCCGAUACUGGAUGGCUUGAGAUCGGGAGAGGGAUGCGGAAUUCCAGGUGUAGCGGUGAAAUGCGUAGAUAUCUGGAGGAACACCGGUGGCGAAGGCGGCAUCCUGGACCGACACUGACACUGAGGAGCGAAAGCCAGGGGAGCAAACGGGAUUAGAUACCCCGGUAGUCCUGGCCCUAAACGAUGAAUGCUUGGUGUGACGGGUAUCGAUCCCUGUC